UAUGUGGGAGUAAAGAUUACAACCUACCGUGAUAUAUUUUUCCCCCGCUGCUAAUUGUUUAAAAACUACAAGUCCUACAUUCCACAAGCGGCAUGCGCCAAUCACAGUAGAGUUUUAUGUGAUGACGCAGUCCAGUCAGAGUGAGAGAAAGGUGAACAACACUGGAAAAAAGUAUCGGUAUAGGCUAUAAAUGAAUUUGCAUACAUCUCUAAAAAUGAAGCCCAUUACAUUUUAUUUUAAGCGAAAAAGAGACGAGGAGAAAGAGGAAUCCGGCGAGGGGGAUUCGCAAGGUUCAUCUAAUGAAGCCCUUUCACAAGGUUUACCUGAGGUGGCUAACGUUAGGGAUGCUGAGAACAACUUGAGCGAAGCUGCUGAGAACAAUGUUAGCGAAACUACCGUGAUCCCCGCUGUCACUUCAACGUCCACUGUAGCCGGCGGAGGGAGAACAUAUAGAUUCAAUGCGAAUUGGCUCAAAAUGUUCCCAUGGCUAGAGUUCGAAAACAACGUCAUGUUCUGCAAAUAUUGUAGAGGGCAGAAACAGGCUCGUCCUUCGUGUCAGGAAACCCACAUCUGAAAAGAGAGAACAUCUCGCGGCGGCAUAUCCAGUGCAGAGAUCUUUACCUGUUGAGACGGUGUCCGCAGCAUUGAGGAGGCAAGUGCUGCUGUCUGAGGAGAAGAUGCGGCACCUGAAAUUGAAGAUAAACAUAGCAUAUUCAUUGUGAAGAAAGAAACUUUAGUCAAAUUUGAGCCGCUUAUCAGACUCCACCACAAAAACGGAGUUGACAUUAAUACCACAUACGACAAUGAGAUAAAAUGUGCGGAGAUGAUCGGUCAAAUUGUUGACAUAAUGAGAGAGAGCCUGUCAGCAAAGCUGAGAGCCGCAAGGUAUCUUGCCGUUCUAAUAGACAGAGACACUGAUAUAUCCAACACCAAAUGCAAGAUUUUCUACUUGCGCUUGUUGGAGGAUGGGAAGCCAGUCAAUCUCCUGGUCGGCACAACAGACCCUUGAGCACUCCCAUGCCAUUGGUGUUUUGGAUGCCACCAAGGCUACAUUUCGUGCUGUUUGUCCAGAGGAGGAUGGAGGGUCAUGGAUGAAGAAGUGCAUCUCCUUCGGGGCAGAUGGUGCCUCCGUGAACAUGGGCCAACGUGGGGGAGUGAUUGCCCACCUGCAGAGAGAGGCAAGGGGGCAUAUAUUCCCAAUCCACUGUAUAGGGAAUAACACUGAAGGGGAAUCUGAAAGGCUUCAUGGACCUCACCAAUCCCCAGCUGAAGCAGCAUAUGGAGCCGGCCAGCAACAUCGGCGUGGAUGAUCUCAAAGCCAGGAUUGGUGGUUUCCAGACCCCAGUGGAGUCUUUCAAAGUGCUAAACCCUGACACAUGGCCAGAAGACCAGGCCAGCCUUCUCACCUUUGGCGAUGAUGGUGUGGCAGACUUGAUGAGGCAUUUCAAGGAGCCCUAGAGAGAUCGGGGUGCAACAUGGCUGCAAUCCAGGAUGAGUGGCAGGGGCUGAAAAUCCCGGUCAGCCACAAUUUCAAGGACAAGUCCUACAGUGGCCUGUGGGAGACCAUGUUGACAAAGGACCCCUACAGGCACGAUUACAAGAACAUACUGGAGUUGGUGCAGCUUAUGCUGGCGCUGCCCAUUUCAGCCGCCCAGUGUGAGCGAGGCUUCUCUGCACAGAACCGGAUAAAGAAUUUGACAAGAAGCUGCCUUGGGGCCUCCACCACCGAAGACCUGAUGAGGAUCAGCCUGGAUUGGCCUUCUGUCGAGGAGUUCGAUCCCACUCCUGCCGUGGACCGCUGGCUGACCUCUAAGCAUGCCAGACGGCCAACAUACAAAAGCAGCUGGACAACUGAUAUCCUUUGUGUCUAGUAAGCAUGGGUCAAUGUGUGAUUUGUGGUAUGUGCUG